rnacentral:rRNA from 1 species
UACGUAGGUGGCGAGCGUUGUCCGGAUUUACUGGGCGUAAAGAGCGCGCAGGCGUCUGGUCAAGUCCGAUGUGAAAGCUCCCGGCUUAACUGGGAAAUUGCAUCGGAAACUGAUCGGCUGGAAGGUGGGAGAGGGUAGCGGAAUUCCCGGUGUAGUGGUGAAAUGCGUAGAUAUCGGGAGGAACACCAGUGGCGAAAGCGGCUACCUGGCCCAUUCUUGACGCUGAGGCGCGAAAAGCUAGGGGAGCAAACGGG